ensembl:lncRNA novel transcript
ACCUUCCGCCAUGAUUGUGAGGCUUCCCCAGCCAUGUGGAAACAUAUUCGCAGAGCACCCACUAGGUGCCAGUAAAUGUAUGAGAAGUCCUGUGGAAUAAGACUGAAGUUGUCCUUGCCUUCAAGCAACUUGCAAUUGCCUAAGAACACAGUUUAAAACCACAAAACUAAGAAAAAGAGAGAGCGAGCGAGAGAAAGAAUAGCUACAUGUGAUUAUCUGAAGCUGAAAGCCAAGCACAAGUUAGAUAGCAGCCAUGAACGCAAUGCCCAGUUUUGAAGAGGAGCUUAAAACAUAACCUUGGAAAUCACAUGCUGUCAUUUCUGCGAUCGGUCAUAACCAGUCCUGAUUCCAUGUUAGAGGAGACUACAUAAGGACACAGGUACCAGAAGGAGACUAACCAGCAUGGGCUACAUCAAAAAGGCUGCCAUCUACUUUCUGCUGGGUAGGGGCACCAGAGAGACUUGUCAGAAACUAGAAGGAAGGUAGAGUGCGAAAUCUGAGUGUUAAUUCCCUGGCUUCAUCAAAGGACACUGGUCUUCACAAGGAAACAGACUACAUGAUUCUCCUUUUGGGCUUCAGUAAAAACCCCCUCCUUUCAUCCCUUAGUCUAGGGAUGGUAAGAGGUCAGCAGCUAAGAAUUCUAGGUUCUUUGUGGUUUUCCCGUAUACAUGUCUUUGAUGAUAGCCCCUUUGGAAAUAAAUUCUCCUAGACUUU